AUGGUGUUUUGUGCAGAUGGUGCAUGGUGUCUCUGCUCUGUUGUAGAUGAGAAUUCAGGGUGGAACACGAAGAGUUCUGCCUGGAAAGUUUAUACAUUCUGAUGGAGAAAUGCGUUGAGUUCCACAGCCAAAAGCGGAAUGAGGUAUUGGAAGACUGUGACUCUCACAUUAUGAAACUACAAGUCUCUCCUCAGCUUUCCUUCCUAUGAUUUACGAGGCUCCAGUAAUGCCAGAGUAAGACAGCUCAUUUUGUAUGGUGUUAUUUGAUUAUAUUAUGGAUGCCCUCUGGACACUGGCAUUCACUGAGAGAAUAGGAAUGGCGUAUUGUUUUUACCAUUCAUUUCACUUAUUGCUUACCUAUAAAAAUUAUACCUUUUUCUUUUGUCAAUAAAACUAUAAUCACAAUUCCUUUA